rnacentral:pre_miRNA from 2 species
UAUAAGGGAUUUUGAGUUUUUGCUUAUACUGUUUGACCACUCGUCUUAUUCAAAAAAAUUUAGAAUUAUUAUUUAUUGUUUUUGUGACUUACUUUAUUAUCCAAAGUACUUUAAGCACAACUUUUCGUUUUUUAUAUUUGCACAAAUUUUUUGAAUAAGACGAGUGGUCAAACAGUGCAAACAAAAACUCAAAAUUCCUUAUAUU